rnacentral:rRNA from 1 species
CCUACGGGGGGCAGCAGUGGGGAAUAUUGCGCAAUGGGCGAAAGCCUGACGCAGCGACGCCGCGUGAGGGAUGAAGGUCUUCGGAUCGUAAACCUCUGUCAGCAGGGAAGAACGGUCACUGUGCUAAUCAGCAGUGAAUUGACGGUACCUGCAAAGGAAGCACCGGCUAACUCCGUGCCAGCAGCCGCGGUAAUACGGAGGGUGCGAGCGAUAAUCGGAAUUACUGGGCGUAAAGCGCUCGUAGGCGGUAUGUCAAGUCAAGGGUGAAAUCCCCGCGCUCAACGGGGGAACUGCCUUUGAAACUGGCAAACUGGAGUGUGUGAGAGGAUAGUGGAAUUCCAGGUGUAGGAGUGAAAUGCGUAGAUAUCUGGAGGAACAUCAGUGGCGAAGGCGACUAUCUGGCACAUAACUGACGCUGAGGAGCGAAAGCGUGGGUAGCAAACAGGAUUAGAUACCCCUGUAGUC